rnacentral:rRNA from 1 species
AACGAACGCUGGCGGCAUGCCUAACACAUGCAAGUCGAACGAGACCUUCGGGUCUAGUGGCGCACGGGUGCGUAACGCGUGGGAAUCUGCCCUUGGGUUCGGAACAACAGUUAGAAAUGACUGCUAAUACCGGAUGAUGACGUAAGUCCAAAGAUUUAUCGCCCAAGGAUGAGCCCGCGUAAGAUUAGGUAGUUGGUGGGGUAAAGGCCUACCAAGCCGACGAUCUUUAGCUGGUCUGAGAGGAUGAUCAGCCACACUGGGACUGAGACACGGCCCAGACACCUACGGGAGGCAGCAGUGGGGAAUAUUGGACAAUGGCGAAAGCCUGAUCCAGCAAUGCCGCGUGAGUGAUGAAGGCCUUAGGGUUGUAAAGCUCUUUUACCAGGGAUGAUAAUGACAGUACCUGGAGAAUAAGCUCCGGCUAACUCCGUGCCAGCCGCCGCGGUAA